rnacentral:lncRNA from 10 species
CUGUCGCUCGGGUCCGGCUGCGGGCCACAGGCCGCGGAUCGCGCUCUGCCAGCGCCCCACGCCCGCAAGCGCGGCCCCUCCGCCACCUCGCGGCCCGGCCUGACCUGUUAAUCACGUCCCCACGGCUCUCCUAGCGGGGACACCGCCGUCUGCAGGCUCCGUCCCCACAGUGCCCAGACCCCGGGAAGUUUGUCAGUCAGCACCCUGAUGCCAGCCGAUUCUCAAAAAGCCAGGAGGAUCCAAGCAGAUGAUUUGCCAGACGGUACUGCAGCAAUGGAGAUGAACAGAUAAUUCACACAGAAAGAAGGACGGAGGAUGCUCGAGACUCUUGCAGUAAUUUGGGCAAAGAUUUCCACAGUGCAAAAUAGAAAAAACGUAACUGGCAAAUAGCUGUACAAAUUACAGUCCAUUUUCAUCAUGGAAUGUCAGUUUGGCAACAAUGGCAUCGAGGCCCAAAAGCAGCUCUGCAGUAGGGGGGUUCCUCCUUGGUGACUGGAUGGGCACAGCGAAGCACAAAUUCCUGAAGAUCCCAGCUCCAGGAAACAUCAGCAUGGUUCAUUGCGUUGUCCACCUGAAUUCUUCACCCCUCCCUGUGGCUGUGUCCAUUGCCCUGUAGUGUUGCAGUUCCCCUCAGGGGAUUGGAUCAAGCUGGGGCGAGAUAGAGUGGGGAAGUGAUGAGCUAAGAAAAAUUAGCCUGCAAGCAUGACGUGUCGCACGUCAGCAAGGCUGCAGCCUUGGAUUCUGAUGUCUUGAGAAGAGCGAUUCACCUGUGAAUUCUCACAGCCCUGGCCUCAGAAAGACGGCCCGGGACCAGGCCCGAUGGCACCCCUCUUCCCAGCUCUCAGCCAGGGCGGAAGGCACAAGUGAUGGCCCUGGCCUCCGCAGUCACACUCCUCCUGAAAGCUGACUGGCUGAACCUCACCUCUUGGCUAGCUUGCCACCCAGCUCUUGAGAACAUGUUUGUCCAAGGCCUCUUGGCAGGUCUCGAUGA